GCACUUUUGUCCGGAAAGAAAGCCCCGGGGUUAAUACCUCUGGGGGAUGACGGUACCGGAAGAAUAAGCACCGGCUAACUACGUGCCAGCAGCCGCGGUAAUACGUAGGGUGCAAGCGUUAAUCGGAAUUACUGGGCGUAAAGCGUGCGCAGGCGGUCCGUUAAGACAGAUGUGAAAUCCCCGGGCUUAACCUGGGAACUGCAUUUGUGACUGGCGGGCUAGAGUAUGGCAGAGGGGGGUAGAAUUCCACGUGUAGCAGUGAAAUGCGUAGAGAUGUGGAGGAAUACCGAUGGCGAAGGCAGCCCCCUGGGCCAAUACUGACGCUCAUGCACGAAAGCGUGGGGAGCAAACAGGAUUAGAUACCCUGGUAGUCCACGCCCUAAACGAUGUCAACUAGUUGUCGGGUCUUCAUUGACUUGGUAACGAAGCUAACGC
rnacentral:rRNA from 1 species